rnacentral:rRNA from 1 species
UACGAAGGGUGCAAGCGUUACUCGGAAUUACUGGGCGUAAAGCGUGCGUAGGUGGUUUGUUAAGUCUGUUGUGAAAGCCCCGGGCUCAACCUGGGAAUGGCAAUGGAUACUGGCAGGCUAGAGUGCGGUAGAGGGUAGUGGAAUUCCCGGUGUAGCGGUGAAAUGCGCAGAUAUCAGGAGGAACACCGGUGGCGAAGGCGGGCUCUGGGCCAGUACUGACGCUGAGGAGCGAAAGCGUGGGGGAGCAAACAGG